rnacentral:rRNA from 1 species
GACGAACGCUGGCGGCGCGCCUAACGCAUGCAAGUCGAACGAGAGAUGAGGAGCUUGCUCUUCAAAUCGAGUGGCGAACGGGUGAGUAACGCGUGAGGAACCUGCCUCAAAGAGGGGGACAACAGUUGGAAACGACUGCUAAUACCGCAUAAGCCCACGGCUCGGCAUCGAGCAGAGGGAAAAGGAGCAAUCCGCUUUGAGAUGGCCUCGCGUCCGAUUAGCUAGUUGGUGAGGUAACGGCCCACCAAGGCGACGAUCGGUAGCCGGACUGAGAGGUUGAACGGCCACAUUGGGACUGAGACACGGCCCAGACUCCUACGGGAGGCAGCAGUGGGGAAUAUUGCACAAUGGGGGAAACCCUGAUGCAGCGACGCCGCGUGGAGGAAGAAGGUCUUCGGAUUGUAAACUCCUGUUGUUGAGGAAGAUAAUGACG